GACGAACGCUGGCGGCGUGCCUAAUACAUGCAAGUUGAGCGCUGAAGGUUGGUACUUGUACCAACUGGAUGAGCAGCGAACGGGUGAGUAACGCGUGGGGAAUCUGCCUUUGAGCGGGGGACAACAUUUGGAAACGAAUGCUAAUACCGCAUAAAAACUUUAAACACAAGUUUUAAGUUUGAAAGAUGCAAUUGCAUCACUCAAAGAUGAUCCCGCGUUGUAUUAGCUAGUUGGUGAGGUAAAGGCUCACCAAGGCGAUGAUACAUAGCCGACCUGAGAGGGUGAUCGGCCACAUUGGGACUGAGACACGGCCCAAACUCCUACGGGAGGCAGCAGUAGGGAAUCUUCGGCAAUGGACGAAAGUCUUACCGAGCAACGCCGCGUGAGUGAAGAAGGUUUUCGGAUCGUAAAACUCUGUUGGUAGAGAAGAACGUUGGUGAGAGUGGAAAGCUCAUCAAGUGACGGUAACUACCCAGAAAGGGACGGCUAACUACGUG
rnacentral:rRNA from 1 species